rnacentral:rRNA from 1 species
UAGAUUGACGCUGGCGGCAGGCCUAACACAUGCAAGUCGAACGGUAACAGGAAACAGCUUGCUGUUUCGCUGACGAGUGGCGGACGGGUGAGUAAUGUCUGGGAAACUGCCUGAUGGAGGGGGAUAACUACUGGAAACGGUAGCUAAUACCGCAUAACGUCGCAAGACCAAAGAGGGGGACCUUCGGGCCUCUUGCCAUCGGAUGUGCCCAGAUGGGAUUAGCUUGUUGGUGGGGUAACGGCUCACCAAGGCGACGAUCCCUAGCUGGUCUGAGAGGAUGACCAGCCACACUGGAACUGAGACACGGUCCAGACUCCUACGGGAGGCAGCAGUGGGGAAUAUUGCACAAUGGGCGCAAGCCUGAUGCAGCCAUGCCGCGUGUAUGAAGAAGGCCUUCGGGUUGUAAAGUACUUUCAGCGGGGAGGAAGGGAGUAAAGUUAAUACCUUUGCUCAUUGACGUUACCCGCAGAAGAAGCACCGGCUAACUCCGUGCCAGCAGCCGCGGUAAUACGGAGGGUGCAAGCGUUAAUCGGAAUUACUGGGCGUAAAGCGCACGCAGGCGGUUUGUUAAGUCAGAUGUGAAAUCCCCGGGCUCAACCUGGGAACUGCAUCUGAUACUGGCAAGCUUGAGUCUCGUAGAGGGGGGUAGAAUUCCAGGUGUAGCGGUGAAAUGCGUAGAGAUCUGGAGGAAUACCGGUGGCGAAGGCGGCCCCCUGGACGAAGACUGACGCUCAGGUGCGAAAGCGUGGGGAGCAAACAGGAUUAGAUACCCUGGUAGUCCACGCCGUAAACGAUGUCGACUUGGAGGUUGUGCCCUUGAGGCGUGGCUUCCGGAGCUAACGCGUUAAGUCGACCGCCUGGGGAGUACGGCCGCAAGGUUAAAACUCAAAUGAAUUGACGGGGGCCCGCACAAGCGGUGGAGCAUGUGGUUUAAUUCGAUGCAACGCGAAGAACCUUACCUGGUCUUGACAUCCACGGAAGUUUUCAGAGAUGAGAAUGUGCCUUCGGGAACCGUGAGACAGGUGCUGCAUGGCUGUCGUCAGCUCGUGUUGUGAAAUGUUGGGUUAAGUCCCGCAACGAGCGCAACCCUUAUCCUUUGUUGCCAGCGGUCCGGCCGGGAACUCAAAGGAGACUGCCAGUGAUAAACUGGAGGAAGGUGGGGAUGACGUCAAGUCAUCAUGGCCCUUACGACCAGGGCUACACACGUGCUACAAUGGCGCAUACAAAGAGAAGCGACCUCGCGAGAGCAAGCGGACCUCAUAAAGUGCGUCGUAGUCCGGAUUGGAGUCUGCAACUCGACUCCAUGAAGUCGGAAUCGCUAGUAAUCGUGGAUCAGAAUGCCACGGUGAAUACGUUCCCGGGCCUUGUACACACCGCCCGUCACACCAUGGGAGUGGGUUGCAAAAGAAGUAGGUAGCUUAACCUUCGGGAGGGCGCUUACCACUUUGUGAUCAUGACUGG